rnacentral:rRNA from 12 species
ACAGGGAUUGCCCUAGUAACGGCGAGUGAAGCGGCAACAGCUCAAAUUUGAAAUCUGGCGUCUUCGGCGUCCGAGUUGUAAUUUGCAGAGGGCGCUUUGGCAUUGGCAGCGGUCCAAGUUCCUUGGAACAGGACGUCACAGAGGGUGAGAAUCCCGUACGUGGUCGCUAGCCUUUACCGUGUAAAGCCCCUUCGACGAGUCGAGUUGUUUGGGAAUGCAGCUCUAAAUGGGAGGUAAAUUUCUUCUAAAGCUAAAUACUGGCCAGAGACCGAUAGCGCACAAGUAGAGUGAUCGAAAGAUGAAAAGCACUUUGGAAAGAGAGUUAAAAAGCACGUGAAAUUGUUGAAAGGGAAGCGCUUGCAGCCAGACUUGCCUGUAGUUGCUCAUCCGGGUUUCUACCCGGUGCACUCUUCUAUAGGCAGGCCAGCAUCAGUUUGGGCGGUUGGAUAAAGGUCUCUGUCAUGUACCUCUCUUCGGGGAGAACUUAUAGGGGAGACGACAUGCAACCAGCCUGGACUGAGGUCCGCGCAUCUGCUAGGAUGCUGGCGUAAUGGCUGUAAGCGGCCCGUCUUGAAACACGGACCAAGGAGUCUAACAUCUAUGCGAGUGUUUGGGUGUCAAGCCCGAGCGCGUAAUGAAAGUGAACGGAGGUGGGAACCUUUCGGGGUGCACCAUCGACCGAUCCUGAUGUCUUCGGAUGGAUUUGAGUAAGAGCAUAGCUGUUGGGACCCGAAAGAUGGUGAACUAUGCUUGAAUAGGGUGAAGCCAGAGGAAACUCUGGUGGAGGCUCGCAGCGGUUCUGACGUGCAAAUCGAUCGUCAAAUUUGGGCAUAGGGGCGAAAGACUAAUCGAACUAUCUAGUAGCUGGUUCCUGCCGAAGUUUCCCUCAGGAUAGCAGUAACGUUUUCAGUUUUAUGAGGUAAAGCGAAUGAUUAGAGGCCUGGGGGUUGAAACAACCUU